UCCCCUUUAUCAGUAUCACAGAUAUAUUAUUUUUCUUUUCAGAAAAAAUCUGCUAUUUAUAACCCCCAUUUUCAAAUUAAUUUUUUUCCUGAAAAUAUGUAUUACUGAAAAAAAAAGAAUUACUCCUACCAUUUAUCUUGACCCCAUUUUGGUUUUCUUGGUUUCUAAUGAUGAAUAUGAUUAUGAAGGUUUUGACUUUUGAUUAUAGUACGUAAUGAACAGUGUACGGUUAAAACAUUCAAGGUCAAGCUAUAUCUAUUUAAAAGGUCUAGUAUGCAUUCUAGUAGGACGGCCUUCAUUAUUCUAAUAUGUACAUUUGUACUGCAAAAUUAGCAAGGUUUAGAUAUAUCAUGCAUAAUGUAUACAUAUAUCUACCGACUAGCUAUAAUGUGAGACAAAGUAAAAUGUAGCUAUAAAACUCUACAAUGUGAUUAUAGUACAUAUAAACUCAGGUAAAGUCAUGUAGGAAUCUAGUAAUUACAUGUAUAAAUCCAGGCUAUCCAGCUACACUAUCUUAUAAAUUCAGCUAGAGUAUGUACAAAUCUAUAACAUAUAUAAAGUCAACAUAGUUACAACAUUCAUAAUCCUAAUUUAUAAUAAGUCUAUUUACGUACAGCUUGCGUAAACCUCUACGUACAACAUGUAUAAACUCAAUCACAACAAGCGCAUAUCUAUUCAAGUACACUCUGCAUGCAUCAUCUUAAAUUACUACGACAACAUCAUCUCUGCCAAUUUUUUUUCCUUUACGAGUUAUACACCCACUUAAAUUAAAACUUGUAGCUUCUCCGGUUCUCCCAUGUGUACAACCCGAUCACAAUAUAUUACAUCCGCGACGCAACGAUGCAUGAAUCUCGUUAUAACAUGUUUAGUUAUCAGUUCUAAAAACCAUGUUUAAACUUAUAAAUAAAACCAUGUUAAAACUUAAAUUGCGCAUGUAAAAAUCCUAAAAACCGAAACAAAGUUUAACCUAUGUAAUUUAUUUUAGCAAGUAUUGAAUUUGGCUGAUAUUAAAUAUUCGGUAGCUUAGCCAUCGGUCUAAAUGUUAUCACUGAAUGGAAUUUAGUUUAUCUAAAGCUUAGUUCUGACUUUUGAGAAUCUAUCCUUAGAAUAAUGUACGAGAUGGAAACAAACAAAGAGUAGUAUAUAUAAUAUUGUUGUACUCUUUCUACCUGGUUCGCGUGCAUUUUUAGAAAUAAAAAAAAAGAAACUUGGAUGACAAAUUAAAAGUUAUGAAUUAGCAAAAAAGCGCUGUAAAAAAUCCAAAAGUAGAUUCCAAUCUCGCAUCGCAUGCACUUCGAAAAGCAUUUAUUCAAUUAUAAGAAAGGAAAACUGCAUCUUGGUUUAAGUUAGUGAUACAGAUUAUUUUAAAGUGUGAUUACGGAUACAAUCAUACAAAAGCAAAACAUUGUUCACGCUCAUUAAUAAAUCGUUAGGAAACGUGUGUGUAUAAUUUGAAAUAAGCUCUUGAAAAAAAUUUAUAUGCAUGUAUCAUGUAUGCGUCUUAAAACACUUCUGUUGCGUGUGAAAACUUUCCCUCCCCAAUAUUCUUUGUGACAAGGCGGGGCUUGUCGAAUGGUUUAACGCUGACUUCUUGUCGAAAACCUCUCGUUAAUUACUUGUGCUCACCAGCAGUCAAUGCUCUGAGGCUUUGUGGGUUUAAGUUAUUUAUUUUGAUAUAGAAGUAAAUUAAUAUGGAUCACGUUCAUUGACUAAUUACUAGUCGAUACAAAACCCGAGACACUGUUAGGAAAUGUUUUGCUAAUGAACAUAACCGUAUCGAUUAAUCUGGAUGUUCUCAACUUCCAGCUUCUUGAAAUUAGUUGUGCUUUUCGAAACAAAGAACUUGCUCCACUUGUAGUCUUGCUAACAAGACGGAUUUUCUUUGCCUAUAAGCUUCCGAUGGCUCAAUGUUGGCUUCAUAUGAUGGGAAAAAAGAAGAACGGUAUUGAGACAUUUUGGACAUCUUCGGGGUGGUCGAGACGAGAGAGAUCCAUCACGUGUAAUUCGUCGGGAUGGUUAGGGAUUAAACUUGAAUCCGGUCUAUGCUCUGUUGCUUGGAUGAAAGGUGGAACAAGAUCUUCCCUUUAAUAAAAGUAAAAAAGUUCGGGGCAUGUCAAGAGAGUUCAUACUAGUCCUAGAGCAUCCACAAUGGUGGAUUUGUGGAAGGAGUCCUUAGGAUUAGUUUAAUAAUUUUUUUUUUUGAAUAGUUAAGGACUCUAGUCAAAAUAGUGUGUCCAAUGGUGAUCCCCAAUCACUACAAAAAAACUAUUGUUUAGCAUCAUUUAUUUGUAUUUUUGCAUUAGUUAUAAAUGAUGUAAAAUAAUUUUGCAUCAUUUAUAUAAAUGACUCUGAAAGUGGUGAUGCAAAUAAUUCACAUCAUCUAUCCUAUACUAAAAAGAGGAUAUCAAGCCCUCUAAGCCUGUCCACGUCCGAUUAGAAAAUCGUCCAAUCAGAGGGCUCUGUUUUGACAUGUCAUACAGGCUUUGGUUCACCAAUCAAACACAAGUUUUAUAACAUGUCAUUAGGUCAACACAAAUUUUAUUCUUCUGAAUCGAUUCCUUUUUUUCUCUCCAAAACGUAUCGUGGACUUUUUUUUAUCCUUUCCAAGAGUCCUCUCAUUGAUUCCUCUUCCUUUCUUUUCACCUUCUCUGCAAAACCUUUCCCGUAGCCAGGAGUCACCUUUUUUUACUGCGGUUUCCGAAAAUUUUAUUCUCGAAAUCGACUUUGGUGUGGUUUUCUUAGAAAUCCUAUUUAUAGAUUUAUGAUUCAGACAAAAAGAAACAAGAGCUACAGAAGGUGAAUCACGAAAAGUUACAAAGGGAUUUACGGUAAAUAUCUAAUUGAUGUUCUCUCCUCUGAACUCUCUGAUGGUUUUAUGGUAAAACUAUUUGAUUCAAAAGCACUAAGAUUAGAGCGUUUUGUUUUGUUUUGUUUUGUCUCUGAACAAGAAAAUAAAAAUCUGAUUUGUUAGCAGAAAGCCAUGAUUUUGUGCACUUAUGAUUCAGCAGAGAGAGUCAGAAGAAUUGCUAAUAAGGUUUAAUGGGGAAAGUAAAACCUAAAAAAAAUGAAGGUUUUCGUAAGGAUCUCUUGCACAACUUCUCUGAACCAUUUGGUUGUUUCCUCUGUGUGUUUUCCUCUUCCAAAGGUUUUUGUUUUUGUUAUCAUACAUUUUCACUUUUAAUAUUGGUAUUAUUUAGCAGGCUCAAAGUAUGAUAAUAUGAAACUGAGGAGACUUCAUGAUAAAACCCACCAAAAAGAGAAAAGAGGAGGAACAUAGCAGACAUGUAAAAAAUAAGACAUUUGAUAAAAGCUACAAAUGCUUCCCUUAAUUCAUCACCUCAAGGAUCAGACUGUUGCAAAAUAUAUCAGGAUCGCAUUGCACUGUUUAUCAUCUUUUAUUGUUCCUGCUCAUGUCUUUUUUCUUUACAGGAAGAUAUUGCCCUUGGAGAACUGUAUACUUUUAGUAAACUCUAAGUAUGCUUUAAGAUUUUCAGGUCUUUUAGUCUGCAAAAGAUAGGAUCCCUACGUUUAACCUUUUAUUAACAAUCUUUUGUUAAGACCCUUGAUUUUUGUGGCAGCUUUCAGUAUGUUUCUGGAAGUAAGCACAAUUCCUCAUCAUUCUGAUGUAUUCUGGGUCCGUUGUUCCACGUCUCUAGGCUUAUGUUACAUAAGAAAAGACCUAAAACUCAAUCUCACUGAAAAAAGCUUAUAUCUUAACCUUUUUGGAUUUGUGUGUGAUCAUGAUUGUGUGGAUUUUCCUCACAGGUUAGCACAUCGGGGUACAUUGCAUCACAUACCGUGUUAUGAGGAGGAAGCUUCAUGGACUGGAAGGAAGCGAUGACGAGGUUUAUGACUUGGUAACGGCUUUGUUUUUGAGGGGUAUCAGAGGCUCAUAGAAGAAACCGUUGCUUGCGGCUGGAGGUGGAAUGUCUGUGGAAGUCUUCAACAGAGGAGUGAUUCCAUUGGCUUACAAUAUCAUUAAGAAGAAUAAAGUCAGAGAAACUAGCACUUACUUGGAUGGAGUCUACCUUAUUUUCACUUGCUUAACUAAAACUUGAAUCCAUUACUCCAAUGGAGACUGCUCUUACUACUGCAAUAUAGUCCAUAAUGGCAUUAUCCGAUUUUCUUCCUUCAAGAUAAAGAAGAAGUACAACUGAAGAGACGAUGAACAUUGCAUGUGUGUAUGUGACCAAAUUUAGGAUUCUAGAUGUUCCUUCUGAAUUAAAGUAAACCUAUCUUUAUUUCGUAUGUGUCUUUGUAUCAUUUGAAAAGUGCAUGUUUUCUUUAUAUACAGAGUGUGAGAAACUGCAAUGCAAUUUUUAUUAUAUCAGCUAUUCAAACUCUUUCCUUUGGUAUGAAAAGUAAGUCUGGAUUUGAUGAUCGACUAUAUAAGUUUAUACGCAUACUAUAAACAGAUGAGGACUAAUUACUUGGCAUAGAAGAACAUGUUGAUAGCUUAUCAACAUUCUUGAACUUGGGGAGAGACAUCUGAGAAUGUAUGCACAUUUUAUUAGGUAUAACUGUAUAAGCUUGACUUAAUGAUGGGUGGAUUCUAUUUGUCAUGUCCCAAAUUUUUUUUGUUAUAGCUGGAUAAGUUAGCAAAAAGGCGAAGAAAUAUAUUUUUUUAUUCCAUUCCAAUCGAUUUAAGAGCAAGAGAAAGAGUUUAUACCGCAUUCAUGCAUCUCGGUGGAAAUACCCAUAUAGAUGCAAUGAUUUUUGAAUUGUGACUUAGAUGUUUAUGUCUCUGUAAGAUUCCGUGUUUCUUAGAUGUUUAUGUCUCUGUAUGAUUCAACAAAGGUGCUCGGAUUGAGGUAUGUUUAUCCGUGACUUUUCUUUGAGUCAUGAGACUUUAAUUUUAUUCCAAGUUAUAUUUCUUUCUCCGUAAGGCAGCAGCUACAAUUACUAAAAAAAAGAACAAAAGGCAGAAGCUAGGUGCCUUUUUGACAUCACACCAAACCAGGAAGGGAACUCUUUUAUUCAUAUUUGUUUUUUGAUUUUCACUAGAUGAUUCCAUCCAAAAAAGUAAAUAUAUAUACGCAACAGACUGCCCAUGAGUGAAUAUAUUACAAUUGCUAUCAAAUAAAUAAAUAAAUAAAAUGUAUAACUAAAUUAUAAAUAAGUGGAGCUUAACAGUUUUUAGUGAAAACUCAAAUACAAAAGAUUUAUGAACUAAAGUUUAAUUAACUUUUCACUGAGUUUGCUUACCACUCUAUAUAUUUUCUGAUAGUAACAAACAAAUUUUAAAUUUUAAUACUUACAAAUUGUUGUGUGCAUGGUAAAAUAAGAAAAAUUUAAAAUGUUUACUUCUCUAAAUAUUAUGUGUUUAAAAAAAAAUAAA